AGUGGCGCACGGGUGCGUAACACGUAUGUAACCUACCUCUAACAGUGGCAUAACAAUGAGAAAUUAUUGCUAAUUCCGCAUGUGGUUAAUUUGAGGCAUCUUAGAUUAACUAAAGAUUUAUCGGUUAGAGCUGGGCAUGCGUCCCAUUAGCUAGUUGGUGAGGUAACGGCUCACCAAGGCAUCGAUGGGUAGGGGCUCUGAGAGGAUUGUCCCCCACACUGGUACUGAGACACGGACCAGACUCCUACGGGAGGCAGCAGUAAGGAAUAUUGGGCAAUGGACGCAAGUCUGACCCAGCCAUGCCGCGUGAAGGAAGACGGCCCUAUGGGUUGUAAACUUCUUUUCUCAGGGGGUAAACUCUGGAACGUGUUCCGGACUGAAAGUACCUGAGGAAUAAGCAUCGGCUAACUCCGUGCCAGCAGCCGCGGUAAUACGGAGGAUGCGAGCGUUAUCCGGAUUCAUUGGGUUUAAAGGGUGCGCAGGCGGAUAUAUAAGUCGGAGGUGAAAUUCUGAUGCUCAACAUCAGCCGUGCCUUCGAUACUGUAUAUCUAGAGUCAAGUUGGAGUAGGCGGAAUGUGUUGUGUAGCGGUGAAAUGCUUAGAUAUAACACAGAACACCGAUCGCGAAGGCAGCUUACUAAACUUUGACUGACGCUCAUGCACGAAAGCGUGGGGAUCAAACAGGAUUAGAUACCCUGGUAGUCCACGCU
rnacentral:rRNA from 1 species